CCUCGUAAGUUAUUCUAUGGGUUUGUUGUUCCGUGGCAUUGAAAGGUUCAGUCCCAGGUUAAAUGGUUUAAAUCCUUCAAAUGGUUUGUAAUUUCUGCACCGCCAGUACACAGAAGCGUUUUAUAACGAUCUUUACUGAUAAACCGAUAUGUGGGCAUUGUUUAUUCCGUCUUGAAAAGCACUCGCUCCGUCUUUCCAACAAGACGCGUAGGUUCGGCGCUCCGAUUUGCAUUAAAGUCCUGUAAAAAGAAGAAAAAGGAAAAAGGGAUUUUUGUAACGAAAGUUUUAACUUUUAUGAAAACACGGAAGCUGCAUAUACAGCAAUACAAUAUCGAAAUGGUAUUUCGCAUCUGGCUGCUUCUGGCUGGCGGAUUCGCCGAAUAGUUCAACACAAGACAGCACGAGUGAAAGAAAUGCAUGGCUGCGCUCCUGUAUGCCUGCUACAGCAAUCCCAGGUAUGGAGCAAACCAUAACAAACCAAACAUAAGCCAUCCACCUCCUGGGCACUGAAACUGGUUUAUGAAUAUG